CCCUAGCCCCGAUAGAAGUGGAAAUCCUUUUGGAUUAUCCUGUAGCAAAGCGGAAGGAAAAUACAAUAAGAUUGGAACGGAUAGCGGGAAAUAGC
rnacentral:sRNA from 1 species